GAUGAACGCUGGCGGCGUGCUUAACACAUGCAAGUCGAACGGAAAGGCCGAAGCUUGCUUCGGUACUCGAGUGGCGAACGGGUGAGUAACACGUGGGUGAUCUGCCCUGUACUUCGGGAUAAGCUUGGGAAACUGGGUCUAAUACCGGAUAUGACGAUCUCUUGGAUGGGGUUGUGGAAAGCUUUUGCGGUAUGGGAUGAGCUCGCGGCCUAUCAGCUUGUUGGUGGGGUAAUGGCCUACCAGGGCGUCGACGGGUAGCCGGCCUGAGAGGGUGUACGGCCACAUUGGGACUGAGAUACGGCCCAGACUCCUACGGGGGGCAGCAGUGGGGAAUAUUGCACAAUGGGCGCAAGCCUGAUGCAGCGACGCCGCGUGGGGGAUGACGGCCUUCGGGUUGUAAACUCCUUUCGCAAUCGACGAAGCCUUUUGGUGACGGUAGGUUGAGAAGAAGCACCGGCUAACUACGUG
rnacentral:rRNA from 1 species